rnacentral:tRNA from 2 species
GGGCGCUUAGCUCAGCUGGUACGAGCGUCUGGUUUACACCCAGAAUGUCGGCGGUUCGAUCCCGUCAGCGCCCAUCA